rnacentral:tRNA from 1 species
GGGGCUGUAGCUCAGUGAUAGAGCACUUGCCUAGCAUGCGUGAGGCACUGGGUUCAAUCCUCAGCACCA